AGAGUUGAUCCUGGCUUAGGAUGAACGCUGGCGGCGUGCUUAACACAUGCAAGUCGAACGAAGCACUUGGAAUGAGACCUUCGGGUGGAUUUCUGUGACUAGUGGCGGACGGGUGAGUAACGCGUGGGUAACCUACCUCAUACAGGGGGAUAACAGUUGGAAACGACUGCUAAGACCGCAUAACAAGGGAGUACCGCAUGACACUUCCUUCAAAGAUUUAUCGGUAUGAGAUGGGCCCGCGUCUGAUUAGCCAGUUGGUGAGGUAACGGCCCACCAAAGCAACGAUCAGUAGCCGGCUUGAGAGAGUGAACGGCCACAUUGGGACUGAGACACGGCCCAAACUCCUACGGGAGGCAGCAGUGGGGGAUAUUGGACAAUGGGGGAAACCCUGAUCCAGCGACGCCGCGUGAGUGAAGAAGUAUUUCGGUAUGUAAAGCUCUAUCAGCAGGGAAGAAAAAGCGCAAGCAUUGACAGUACCUGACUAAGAAGCCCCGGCUAACUACGUGCCAGCAGCGGC
rnacentral:rRNA from 1 species